AAUUUAAUAAUAUUAAAAUUAUCUGAAUUCGAAUUUUAAUCAGAGCCUAAUUCAAUAUUAUCCUGUAUAGGCUACGUGGGUCAUUUAGUUACAAUCUCACUUCCUGUUAGAUGAGCUAAAUAUCCUGCAUAAUAGGAGAUGGAGUGCUUUACGGGUGCAGAUUUUUUUCUUCUUAUGAUAGAAAAGAAAAUUUUGGCUUUUUCUUUGGGAAAAUUCAACGAAUUUCUAAAAUUUUCUUAAUUUUUAAUGUAUUUGCAAAAGCGUUUAAUAAUGAGAAUUGGUUGAUUUUUUUUUUUCUCCAUUCAUUAA
rnacentral:misc_RNA from 1 species